rnacentral:rRNA from 1 species
GCAGUCGAACGGCAGCACAGUAAGAGCUUGCUCUUAUGGGUGGCGAGUGGCGGACGGGUGAGGAAUACAUCGGAAUCUACCUUUUCGUGGGGGAUAACGUAGGGAAACUUACGCUAAUACCGCAUACGACCUUCGGGUGAAAGCAGGGGACCUUCGGGCCUUGCGCGGAUAGAUGAGCCGAUGUCGGAUUAGCUAGUUGGCGGGGUAAAGGCCCACCAAGGCGACGAUCCGUAGCUGGUCUGAGAGGAUGAUCAGCCACACUGGAACUGAGACACGGUCCAGACUCCUACGGGAGGCAGCAGUGGGGAAUAUUGGACAAUGGGCGCAAGCCUGAUCCAGCCAUACCGCGUGGGUGAAGAAGGCCUUCGGGUUGUAAAGCCCUUUUGUUGGGAAAGAAAAGCAGUCGAUUAAUACUCGGUUGUUCUGACGGUACCCAAAGAAUAAGCACCGGCUAACUUCGUGCCAGCAGCCGCGGUAAUACGAAGGGUGCAAGCGUUACUCGGAAUUACUGGGCGUAAAGCGUGCGUAGGUGGUUGUUUAAGUCUGUUGUGAAAGCCCUGGGCUCAACCUGGGAAUUGCAGUGGAUACUGGGCGACUAGAGUGUGGUAGAGGGUAGUGGAAUUCCCGGUGUAGCAGUGAAAUGCGUAGAGAUCGGGAGGAACAUCCAUGGCGAAGGCAGCUACCUGGACCAACACUGACACUGAGGCACGAAAGCGU